UCGAACGGGCUAGUGUCUUCGCACUAGUCUCUUUCUGGGGUUGUUACUCUAAGGGCUACCUGCUAAGGUUAUUGCUUUAAAGCAGGGGUUUUAGGAGACUUUCCCCGAAAGGGGCCAGUGCGGAGCACUGGCCAGUGGCGAACGGGUGAGUAACACGUGGGUAAUCUACCCUCGAGUGGGGGAAUAAGCUUCCGAAAAGGGGGGUCUAAAUGCCGCAUAACGUUUCAUAACGAUGGUUAUGAAACCAAAGCCCAAAAGGCGCUCGAGGAGGAGCCUGCGUCCUAUCAGCUUGUUGGCAGGGUAAUGGCCUACCAAGGCUAUGACGGGUAGCCGGCCUGAGAGGGUGUCCGGCCACACUGGAACUGAGACACGGUCCAGACUCCUACGGGAGGCAGCAGUGGGGAAUUUUGCGCAAUGGGGGAAACCCUGACGCAGCGACGCCGCGUGGAGGAUGACGGCCUUCGGGUUGUAAACUCCUGUCAGAAGGGACGAAAUCCCGCAAGGGACUGACGGUACCUUCAGAGGAAGCCCCGGCUAACUACGUG
rnacentral:rRNA from 1 species